GGAAGGGGAGAAGCAAAGAAGGGAGGCCACUGGAGACAGAAGGAUGGAGCAGCAAUUGAAUCACAAGUAUGCCUCAUUGUUUGAUCUAUGCUGGUGAUGUCUGAGAUGAGUCUG